UUUUAUUAUUAGCUCAAUAUAAGAUUGGGGACUACAAGCAAUAGCUUAAAAACCUAAGAAUUUGGGGGUGUUUUAUUCAAUCAGGGGGACCUGUACUUUAAAUCGACAAUCCACGAUAAACUCUAUCUAAUUUUAAUAAAUUAAUAUAUAUUAACUUGUGUACUGCCGUUUUAUAAGCCCUUUAGGAUCUCUUAUAAUCAAUUAAAAAAAAAUAAAAAGUCAGGUCAUAGUGCAGUUUACGGUUAGAUAGUUCAUGGGUCACAUUUUUAAAAAUAAAUUAGUAUUAUAAAUUAAUUUUUAUGAUAAAUUUAGAACUUGAUAGUAAUUAUAAAAUUAUUUAUAUUAUAAUGAAUAUGAACCUAAAACAAGUACAUAUCGCCCGUCACUCCUUUAUACAGGAUAAGUCGUAACAUAGUAGAUGUAAUGGAAAUUGCAUCUGU
rnacentral:rRNA from 1 species